AACCGACGAAUAAGGUCGUAUCCAUGGCUAAAUACUUUUACUAUUUAACCGUGAUCGUAUCUAUUUGAUUUUAUUAUAUUAUAUAAUAUAUUACAAUAACGUGUUUGUAAUAUUUAAUAAAAGGAUUUCAAAAUGAAGACGUAUUAAGUUUAACAAGAAAUAAAAAAGCUCUUCAAUUCAACCUCAUUAACAGAAAACGUUUAUAGAUAUUUUUAAUAAGAAUGAUAAGUUAGGAGGAAUAUCUUCAAAUGUUCACUUGGUUUGUCCUAAGUGCGAAGUUUUUGAAGCUAUGGAUAUAGAACUUUUCCGUGAGCAUUUAUAUAAAGAAGUCAAUUAUAAAAUAUGGAAAUGCUUGAAACGUUUUGAAAUACCUGUUUCUGCUAAGAAAAAGGCAUGGCGUGUUAUGAAACAUGGAAUUGGAGCAAUUAUGAAAAAAUUGAAGAUAGAGAGAAAUUAAAAUGGAUAAAAUAAAUAUAAAUAAAAAAAUAAAUAUAUUACAUAAUUAGAUUAUUUUUUUUUAUUGAAGUAUAUUUCAAUUAAGAUUUAAAUUAAGAGAUUUGGCGCCCCUAAGCCACCCCCAGCGUCCUUUAAAGUAAAUUCAGAUGGAUUAGCAAAUAUAGUGUAAGAAAAUUUGUUGAGUCAUGAAAAGGACAACUUAUUCUUAUUUUAAAAAAAAAAAUAUUGAACGCAAAAAAAAAAAAAGAAAUGAAAAUGUAUCUAAGAAUGACAAAUUGGCUUUUUAUAAUAAAAUAAAAAAUAUACUAUCAUUCCAAUACAGUUGAAUAUUUGAAAUUGUCAUUUCCGACUGAUGUUAUUUGUUUACAUUUAAUGUGCUUCAUGUUUAAUGUUGAUACCUCAA